GAAGAACGCUGGCGGCGCGCCUAACACAUGCAAGUCGAACGGAGCUGAGAGAAGCUUGCUUUUCUUAGCUUAGUGGCGAACGGGUGAGUAACGCGUGAGUAACCUGCCCUGGAGUGGGGGACAACAGUUGGAAACGACUGCUAAUACCGCAUAAGCCCACGAUCCGGCAUCGGAUUGAGGGAAAAGGAUUUAUUCGCUUCAGGAUGGACUCGCGUCCAAUUAGCUAGUUGGUGAGGUAACGGCCCACCAAGGCGACGAUUGGUAGCCGGACUGAGAGGUUGAACGGCCACAUUGGGACUGAGACACGGCCCAGACUCCUACGGGAGGCAGCAGUGGGGGAUAUUGCACAAUGGGGGAAACCCUGAUGCAGCGACGCCGCGUGGAGGAAGAAGGUUUUCGGAUUGUAAACUCCUGUCGUUAGGGACGAUAAUGACGGUACCUAACAAGAAAGCACCGGCUAACUACGUG
rnacentral:rRNA from 1 species